AUGUGGCAUGAAGAGAUGGCAGGGUUGGUAUUCUCAGCUUUGCAUUUGGCUCUUGUGGACCUCACCCAAUUCACCACACCUGAGGAAAACUGUAAUGGGAGAUUGAGACAGAAUUGCUUCUUGGGGACUAUUUUCCAAUUGUUCCCUGUCACCCUGGUUAAGCUGAGCUGCUGCUGUCAGAGUGAGGAGCACCAUGUCACUGGGUCCUAAGGAAGUUUCACAAAUAGCUUCUUUUCCUGAGCAUCAAAAGGUCCAACAGCAUCCAGUCAGAGCAGGAGAGGCUCGCACGAUGUGAUGAAGUCCAGGAUUUGGGACUGAGAACUGCAUGGUUGAUUUGAGGUGCCAUUAGCCCAUUUCUGUUUCUCUGCUGCAAUAGUAUAAAUGUGAAGGUCCUGUUAAUGUCGAGGAGGAAGGUUAUGGAAGGUUUGUGCUGCUUUAACUGACUUGGGAGUUGCUCUCCUGGGUGAGAAAUGUGCCCCCUCUCCAAGGGAACUGUUCCUCUGCUAGAGACAAGCAAAAAGUUCCUGAGCCGUGGGGAAUUGGGGUUUGAUAGAAAUGUAAGACAUUGUGGUCUCCAGCAUCUCAAAUGAGUGAUGUCAUCUCCUGCUCAGCAAAUAGUGUAGAUGAGGAAUUAUGAACAAUUUAACAGCUGACCUGUAGCUUAAUUGACUCCCAAACUGCACAUACACCUAGGGCUGGAGGGUAACAUGGGCUUCAGAGCCAUCACAGCGAGGUUGUCUUCACAAAAUCAGAAACAUCUGGUUUCCACUAAACCUAGGCACUAAUAAGCUAAUACUCAUAAUGAAGGGGGAAAUGCUUCAAUGGACUACUCAGGUCAGUGAACUCCUUUUCCUCUGAAGGUGCCUGGCCCACACUUUUCAAGCUGUUAUGGUUAACACAGAGUGAUUAUUUGGCUUUGCUAAUGAAGUAGCAUCAAUGAUGGAAAGGUUUUCUUGAUCUGAAACUUUCAUCUUUUCAGUGCAAUGAAUUUAGAGCUGUAAUUCUUCCAUUCCAGGGUACUGAGCAUCACAGUAGCUAAGGGAUCAUGAACAAGCCUGUGCAAGGGAGAGAAAUUUAUAAAUGAGCUUUCUUAGGCAAGGUGAGUGUACAUGUUGUUGAAAAAGGGCUGUGAGACCCACUCCAAAUUGUUUGAGAGAAGGAGAGUGCCCAUGGAGCAGCUGAUGAACCAUGGCAGCCUCCUUGUGAGGAUCAGCCUUGAUCAGAGGCUGGGGAGGAAGGAC
rnacentral:lncRNA from 1 species